CUGCAUUUUACAAAUUAAAAAUGGUUACAAUCGUUCCGUACUUCUGUUAAUUCCACAUUGAUACUACAGAUCGAGAUCGCACAAGUAAAAAAACCUGUCAUUUUAUUUUCAUAAAAUGAGUAUCUGUAACUAAUAAUUCACUUCCCUUGCCUCUUCCAGUAUGAAUUGUUAAAAGGUUAUUUGUCCCCAGUCGGAGGACGACAUUGUUUAACAUUAUAUCGAUGUUUUCAAUUAUACCGAAUGCAGAAGAAAAUGGGGUCACAUCUGAAUGAAUUCCUUGUUUAUCCAGGAUGAGAUUAAGUAAUCCCCGAUUGACGCUUGAAAAUGGAGCCUUAUCGUUCAUCUGUGUUCACGAAUCGAAGAGUGUUCCCAUAUUGGUUGUUUUUCAUUGUGUUCCGUCCCCCGUAGCGAAACGCCUGAGGCAGAAGUCGUUGCUGAUCGCUAUAACCUUUGAAUCGUAAAGACAGUUUCGAACGAGCCAGACGAAGUACUCUUAUACUUGCUAACUAUUUGAAAAUGUCGAGAUAUCAGUAAGGACGGGAAAAUUCUCGAUUCAUCGUGAAGAUAGCAGUUAUGUGUGGAGAGCACGGUCUUGAAGAAUACAUUAGUGCACUUCGACGAACACAAUUUGAUGCUACGAGUGCUUUUUGGUCGUUCCAGUUAGACUUUAUAUCCGCUACAGUACAACAAGUUGUGUAAUAACGACAGAAAUGGAAUUCAUGAAAGACUACCUCUAUUCUUCAGUCAUAGAGACUGUUAUAUAACUGUGGAACGAAGAGAAGAAGUUUAUUGUAACAGAAAAAUAAUAUACAAAUUGUGGAACGAAGUGAUUUUAAUUAAAAUUUUCUCAAGAAUCGAGAACAAGAAAACGUAUUCACAAUAUGCACAAUAAUAGCAACUUAUUUUAAAGAAGUUUAUGUACUUGCUCAAUGUACCUUCUACAGACUCGUUAUAUCUUUUGAAGAAGUAAAAUUUGUAUUCUUUUCUUGAGUAUCUCAAAGACACAAAAUCUCAAAAAUCGUAUCACUCAAAGCCUUGUUUAGAUCAAAUUGAGUAAAUAGAACCUUAAGGAGCUUGCAAAAAAUUCUAUACAUAUUUUAUACUGUUUGAUCAACUUAAAAAAUUUGUUAAUCCUGAAGGAUUCAAUGUAUCAUUAUACAGCAUAAAAUUAUAGUGUUUGUAGAAAGUUAAAUUAUUAUCAAUUCAUACUACUCGAGGUUCUCCCAUGUUUAUUAAAUAUGAAAAGUGUACACCUUUCUACACUUAAGGGGUUAGUCGCAGUCAGGAAAAUGAAAACGGACACGUUCUUGUGUGUUUUUUUUUAAAUAUUAAAUAAUAAUUUUUAUUAAUAAAAUUUAAAUAUAUGGCAAAAUAUAUCUUAAAAAACUAUAAAGAAAUUUUUGUUUUAAAAAAAGGUUAAUUACUUUCGUCAUAACAGGCGAUGUUGUGGGUGGCCAUUUUGUUUGCGGUGAGCAAGAUUUCUUCAAACUGGUAUACCUGAAAACAAAAAUAAAGGUAGAUUUGGAGAAUAUAUUAGACUAACGGGUCCCUGAUCAAAGGAUUUUGGAAAAAAUUAAUUUAAAACAAAAUGACGCACAUUUGAAGUUGAAGUUCAAUUUCCAUUAUAAAAUUAAAUGAUUAAAGAGAGAAUAAAAAGAAAAGUAUAUAAGAAAAUUAAAAAAUCCUUCGAUCAGGGACCCGUUAGUCUAAUAUAUUUUCUAAAUCUACCUUUAGUUUUGUUUUCAGGUGCACCAAUUUGAAGAAAUCUUGCUCACCGCAACCAAAAUGGCUACCCACGCCAUUGCCUGUUAUGACGAAAUGAAUUAAUCUUUUUUUGAAACAAAAAUUUCUUUAUAGUUUUUUACGACAUACUUUGUAAUAUAUUUACAUUUCAUUACUAAAAAUUAUUAUUUAAUGCCUUAUAAAAAAACACACAAGAAAGUGUCCGUUUUCAUUUUCCUGGCUGCGACUAACCCCUUAAGAGAAUUGCCCAUACCGCUAAACGAAAUUGGAAAAAUUGGCCGAUUAUUGAUUAUAAUUGGUUACAUAAUUACUUAUUAUUGCUUAGUACAACAAAGUUAUGUUCAUAAGACUCAUUCAUAAUAUGAAUGACCCACUUUCCACUAGAAUUCAUUUUUAUAAGCAUUUUAAAGCAAAAAUUGAAAGUUUAGUUGCAGAUUUUAGAUCAGGUGUACCGACUCUUAUCUACAAAUUUAUUCCACGCACAAUUCGAUUGACCUAUUAAAUAAAGACUUAUGCAUAUAUGCAUACUCGAGUCCGUGAACUAUGGUAACCAGAAACGUACGUUCAGGAGACGAAGGAUACGCAAGAGAGACAGAGAGGAGUCUAUGGCAGCUCAGUCAGAGCGGCAAACGAGGGGGAUGAAGAAGAGAGAAACUACGACAAGGGCUGCUGACAGACAGUGACGGGUACCACUUUAUCCGCGACACGAUUCUGCGCUUACCACAGCCCACCCGUUCACCAUCGCCGUCACCGAUGCCACCCACGACCGAUCUGAUCUGAUCUGAACCUACUCGAUCCGAUCCUUUGCCCGCGCUCCGUAUAUCUGUUGCCUCCUCCUUCGGUCUAUGCCUCCACUCCUUUUUCCUCGUCCCGUGGUCCCCGCUCGAUCCACUGUUUACUCUGCUUUCGUGUUGCUUAUUUUUAUCGGGAAGACAGACACGUUCCGUAGCGGUAAAAAGAGGAGCAAACUAGGAUUCGGGUAUAGAACACCGAACUGGCCUCAUUGCUGCGCGAUCGUGCUUUAAAGAUGCACGCUUCAUGUAGAAGUACACCGUGAAUUCGGUGGUAAUGGAAGUUGGCGGUAGACUCGAAGGAGAUCUCGUGAGAAUUGAUGUGGCGGGUGUUUAGAUAUUUUAUUGUGUCAUGGAAGAAGUGCUUUGCAGGAACAUGAUCGGAGUUCAUCAGCUGUUAAUCGUCGUCAGUCAGUCGUUAAGAGAUCAAAAACUGUAGCGAAAUGUUCAUUCAAGUUUACGACAUUCAGUAACUGAGAGAAAUUAUGAUACUCGUUAAAUGAUCCUCACACGUUACUUAAAGGAAUUACUAUUUGAACUCCUAAGUCUUUAAAUUUUGCAAUAUGAAGAUGCAAUAUGAAAAUUGUACCCAUUGGAGAUACAAACAAAUUGAUUCCCACGUUUCGUAAGAAUCCUCACAGGAGACACACGAGUCAAUUUCCGCGCAUGAAGUAAUCUGGUGCAUCGUAACGUGGAUCACGUUUGCCUCUCUAGGUACUUGCACGAGUAUUAUGGAUUUCUAAACCUUUACGAAGCGCACACACGUGUCAUGUGUGCGCUAUAUAUUUCCAUGCAUCCGCAAAUGGUGUGUGCACGGUUGCCUCGGCACAUCAGCGUGAAUCGAGCGCGGGUGAAGGCUGCAAGUGUCUCUUCCUUGCGAAUGGCGGCAACGAAACGAGCGAAACUUCUCCAAUCGGCCUAAUCUUACGCCAGCGAGUUCACCAUUUCAUAGAAACAAGUUAAAUUCGCAGUAUGUUGGUUUAUCAUGGAAUUCAAUUAAUUGUAAUUGAUCAUAAUCGCUCAAUACACGAAUAUGUAUAGAUAUAUCGAAGUAUCAUCGGAUUGGUGACAAAAUUGAAAACAAUUAGAAUUCCGAUGAG